UCGUCUCCCUCGAGUGGAGGGCUUGACAUGCUUAAAAAUGAAUCUGAUGUUGUGAAAGAAAGCUUGGCAAAGAAGCAAACGGAGAAAGGGAAAGAUACGCCUAGCGCCCAUUUAAAUGGCAGCUCAACAAAGGAAAUAUAUGCAGCGUUCUGAUUCGUUCUUUUUCCAGUGGAUUAUUAUGUUAAUCAGUUGUUAGUAGCUGAUAAAUAAAUGUGGCCUUCAGUCGGUUCUGCGAACGUCGGAGUACAAUAACG
rnacentral:misc_RNA from 1 species